GAGGAUAAGAAUCUUUGAGUUGCAUGAUUAAUAAGGAUAAGAUUUACAAGUGGUUUUGCAAGUUGUAAUUAAAAUAUUAAUAAAAUAAUAUUAAAAUAAUAAAUAAUAUUUAAAAAAAUAAUUUAAAUAGUGAGAUUUUUGGACUAUAAAUAGCCAUGAGAGGGGAGCUUAUUCUGCAUAAAGAGAGGAAGAAUCAAGUGAGAAAUCUUGAAAAAAAAAAUAUAGAGAAGAAAGAGUUAGGAAGAAAAUUUUAGAAGAGUAGAGAUUCUGGAGGGUUUUCGGAGGAACAAAUUUUGAGCAAGAGAUUGAGUAUGAAAUAGAGGUAAGGGGAGCUAACUUUUCUAAUUUUUUUUUUAUAUUAUAAAAUAUUUUUUAUAACUAUUUAUGUCUUGAAAUUCUAUACAAUUACUGUUAAUGAAAAACCUUUGUGCUUGUUGUACAACUAUUUGAAUUUCUGGGAUAAUAUUAUAUGUUG
rnacentral:lncRNA from 1 species